AAAGAAUGAAAAGUGCGAAGACAAAGAAGGAGAAGAAGAAUAAAAGAAAGAGAGAGAAAGAAGAACAAAGAGCAGAGGGAGGAAAAAUUUGUAGAAGGAGAAAGUAGAACUCAGAAGGAGAAGAACAAGGAGUCAAGAGAGAAAGAUUUCAAAAACUAGCAGAAGAAGGAGAGGAUGAAGAAAAAAGGGGAAGAGAAUAAAAAGAGGAUGAGAAAAUAAUAGGAGGAUGGGAUAAGAAUGACAAAAAGACAGAAGAAGAAAAGAAUGAGGAGUAGAAGAAGACGAGUGACUAGAAUGAGGAGAGAAGGAGGAAGAGGAACAAAGAGUAAAGGGAGGAAGAGAUGAAGAAAAUGAGGAGAGGAAAGAUAAGAAAAAAUAAGUAGAAGAAAAAGGAGAGGAGGAGACAAAAGGAGAACAGAGAAGAAGAAGAAAAGAGGAGGAGUAGUAGACAGAAGGGCAAUAAAAGAAUGGAGGAGUAGUAGAAGAAGAAAAGAAUGUGGAAGAAAUGAAUAAGAAGUAGACAGGAGGAGGAGAAGAGAGGAAUGAAGAAGAGCAGAGAAAGAAUGAGACAGACAGAAGGAGAAGAAGAAAAGAAUGAGGAGAUGAAGAGAAGGAGGAGAUGAGAAGAAUGAGGGAAAGCAGAUUAAGAAAAAUGAGGAAGAAGAGCAAGAUAUGAAAAACAAGAGGAAGAAGAGAAGAAUGAGGAAAUACAACAAGGAGUAAAGGGGAUGAAGAGAUGAAGACUAUUAAAAAGAAUGAAAAGGAGGAGAAAGAAUGAGAGGACAGGAGGAGAAAAGGAGGAAGAGAGAGAAGACAGAAUGGGGAGUAGAAAAAAGGUAGAAAAGGAAAAGAGAAGGAGGAGGACGAAGCAGAAAGAGUAAAGAGAGAAAGAGAUGGAGAAGCAGGAGGGAGAGAGAAAGGGCUAGAGGAGAGGAAGAAAAGUAGAAGAACAAAGAGGACGAAGAAAAAUGAGAGUUGAAAAAGAAGAAAAGAAUGAGGAAGAGAACUGAAGGAAGAGAAGGAAAUUAAAAGUAGACAGAAUGAGGAAGAGAGAGGAAUGAGGAAGAGCAGAGCAGACAAAGAAGGAAGAUGAGAAAGAAGGAGAACAGAGGGAGAAGGAAUGAGGAGCAAGAAGUAAAGGGAGGAAGAGAAAAAAGAAGAGGAAGGAGAUAGAGAAAGAAGUGGAAGAAGACAGAGAAGAAGGUUGGAGUAGAAUAGAAUGAGGAAGUGAAAAGGAAAAUAAAAAAGGAGAAGAGAACAGAGGAAGAAAGAAGCAGAACAAGAGAGAAUGAGGAGAAAGAUUGAGAGGAAGACAAAGGAGGAAAAAGUAGGAGUUGGAGAAAGGAGGAGGAAGAGAAAUAAGGAAACGAUAAGAGGACAAGAAGGGAGGAGAAGAAGAGGAAGGAGGAAGAAAAAGGAGAAAAAGACAGAAGAGGUAGAAAGAAGGACAUGGGGAAAGAAGAACAAGACAAAGGAGGAAAAAGGAGAAGACAGAAAAGGGAGGAAUAGGAAGAAGGAGAAGCCAGAAGGAGAAGAAGAAUGAUGAAGGAGCACAGGGAGGAAAAAAUAAGAAGACAGAAGCAGGAAAAGAUGACAGAAGGAGAAAGAAAUGGAGGACAGAGAAGGACAAGGAGAAAUAAAGGAAAAAGAAGAGAAAAAGAGAAAAAGCCAAAAGGAGGAGAAAAAGCUGAAGACAGAAGGAGGAGGAUGAGAAGGAAAGAAUGAGGAAGAGAAGGAGAAGGAGGAAGAACAAGGAGGGAAGAGGAAGAGCUGGAAAAGAAGCAGUAGGAGGAAAGGAAGGAGGAGACCUGAAAAUAAAGGGGAAGAGGAGAAGAAAACAAAGGAGAGGAUGAAGGAGUAAAAAAAAUACAAGGAUGGGAUAAGAAAAGAAUGACAAGACAGAAGGAGAAGAAGGAGAAAAUGAGGAGCAGACAAAAACAAUGAGGAAGAGAGUGAGGAAGAGUAGAAAGAGGGGGAACAAUGAGUAAUAGAGGAAGAGAUGAAAAAGAACAGGUAGAAGAGGAAGGAGAACACAAAGAAAAAAGAGCAGAUGAAAAAGAAUGAAGAGGAGAAGAAAAGAGUGACAAGAAGAAAAACAAAAGAAUGAAGAAGAGUGAAGAUGGACAAAGAAAAUGCAAGAACAAGGAGUAAAGGAAGCUGUGUAAGGAGACAAUGAAGAGUGAACGAGGAGAAGAAAAAGGAGAGGGAGGAAAAUAAAAGAACAAGAAAAAGGAUGAAGAGAAGAAUGGCAAAGAAACAAAUAAGACAGUGGAGAAGGAGAAAGAAGGAGACAAAGACAGAAGAAAGAGGAGAAAGAAGCAGAAGAUGGAAGGAGGAGGAGUAAUAGAGAAGGAGGAAGAAUAACAGAGUGGAGGGAAGAGGAGAUGAAAAAAGAAGAGGAAAAUGACAGAAUGAGGAGAAAGAAGGACAAGAAGACAGAAGAAGAGGAAAGGCUAAGAAUAAGUCAAAAUAGGAAGAAGAGAAAAAAGGAGAAGGAGGAAAGAAAAAAGAAGUGAAGUAGGUGGAGAAAAGGAGAAAGAAAAACAAGGAUUACAGGGAUGAAGAGAUGAGGAAGAAGAUGACAGAGGAGGAGGAGAAGGAGGAAAAGAAUAUGGAGAUAAAGAAGGAGUUGAAAGAAGAACAAGGAGUGGAAUGAGGGAGAGAAGGUGAAGAAGAAAAAGUAGAAGAAAGAAAGGAAGAGAACAUGAAGAAAAACAUAGAAUGAGGCAAAAAAAUAGAGAAAAAAAUGGAGGCAGUAGAAGUAGAGGGGGGAAGGAGGACAAAAUAAAUGGAAGGAAAGGGAUGAGAUGUGAGAGGAAGAGAAGAAGCAGAUAAAGGAGGAGAGGGAGAAGGAAGAGAAGGAUUAGAAGACAGAGAAGAAGAAGAGUAUAGGAGAGGAAGAAGGAGAACAUGAUGAAAAAAGGAGAAUAAAAGAGAAGAGCAGGCAAAGAGUAAGGAGAAAAACUAGUGCAUUGCAUAAAACCUGUGUACAGAACAGCAUUCAAAGGCCACUUAUCUGUCGUCUCAGAGGUGGGAAGGUCCACAAUCACAUCAGGAGACCUGAGGGUGGAAAACAAAAGUCAAACACAAUGACUUCCUGGACAGUUUCACAUGUUAACAAUUGUUGGUUGCAUAGCAUUAAAUAGUAAAAGAUCACCAAAACAUAAAUCAAGUUCCAACAUAAUGUUUCAA
ensembl:lncRNA